rnacentral:misc_RNA from 1 species
AAGUCGUAACAAGGUCUCCGUAGGUGAACCUGCGGAGGGAUCAUUAAAGGUUUCGGGUACUCAGUGCCCAAACUUCAACCCUAUGUUUUAACUAAACCUGUUUCUUUGCCGGUUUCGACCGGCAGAAGUUUUCUCAAACUCAUUUUAAACAUGUUUUCUGAAUCAAAAACUAAAUGAAUUAAAACUUUCAACAACGGAUCUCUUGGUUCUG